AGUCCUAUCGAGACCUGAAGGAAGUGACUCCUGAAGCACUGCAGAUGGUUAAGAGAAACUUUGAAUGGGUUGCAGAAAGAGUAGAGUUGCUUCUGAAAACAAAGAGCCAAGGUAGAGUUGUGGUAUUGAUGGGCUCUACUUCUGACCUUGGCCACUGUGA